CAUUUUCUAUAAAAUCACACAAUCGUAUAAAACUACUCUAGAUAAUUAAGACGAUAAUAAGUUUACUCACAGUUCUAGGAGUCGAUGUACUCCUAAUCACAGUCUUCAACCACAAUCUUUGUACUUUUACCAGUGUAAUUUGCUCACCACCUAUCCAUAAUGUACAAUACAAAAUUCACCACAUUAAUGCUUGACCAUUAUAUAAUCAAUUCAGGUUCGGUGUAUAUGCAUGAUAUGAUAUACAACUUAUUCGACUACCGCUUAAAUGCAGUGCUGACCUAAUUCGGCCUAUUACCCGAUUAAAUGACAAUUGUGUCCGAUUUAGCUCCAAAUUGCUCCAUUUCAGUUAUAAUACCUCAAUUCACCAAACAUUAUUCAAAUAACACCAAUUUCAGCAUCAAAACCCUCCCAUUUCUUCAUGGAAAAAUUCGGCCAUUACAGUGCACUAUCACUAAAAAUUUUCUCAUUCCAUUUUCUCACCCUAAAUCAUCAUUUCAUCAAUUUGUCAACCAAUUCACUUGAUCACAAAAUCAAUUCACUACUUUUGCACUUCACAUAGGAUUCGGCCAUUGAAGGUUCAUGGGGAAAAUGGAUUCUUUUCUUGUUAUUUUGCUUUUAAAUAUGCUAAACUAACUAAAAACACUAACAUAUCUUAAAAUCAAAUCAAUCCAACAUCUUUCUCUCUCUUUACCCCUUUUGACCAGCCAUGAAUUCAUCAUCAAAACAUGUAAUUUAAGCAUAGAAAAUAAGCUGAAAUGCUUAAGGAAAAUAGAUUUCAAGCUUAAGUUGAAAAAUCCUACCUUUUUCACUUGUUUUCCUUGAUUUUUCACACUUUUUCUCUUGAAAUUCUUCACCUAGGGUUUGUUCUUCCUUUCUUUCCCUCUCUUCC
rnacentral:lncRNA from 1 species